GACGAACGCUGGCGGCGUGCUUAACACAUGCAAGUGGAGCGACGAACCAGGCUUCGGCCUGGGGCAGAGCCGCGAACGGGUGAGUAACACGUGGGUAACCUGCCCUGAUGAUCGGGACAACCCGGGGAAACCCGGGCUAAUACCGAAUGUGCUGCUCUCGCAUCAGUGAGAGUAGGAAAGGAAGCUUCGGCCUCCGCAUCAGGAUGGGCCCGCGGCCCAUUAGCUGUUGGUGAGGUAACGGCUCACCAAGGCUUCGAUCGGUAGCUGGUCUGAGAGGAUGACCAGCCACACUGGGACUGAGACACGGCCCAGACUCCUACGGGAGGCAGCAGUGGGAAUAUUGGACAAUGGGCGCAAGCCUGAUCCAGCCAU
rnacentral:rRNA from 1 species